GUCGAGAAUCUUUCACAAUGGGGGCAACCCUGAUGGAGCGACGCCGCGUGGAGGAUAAGGUCUUCGGAUUGUAAACUCCUGUCAUGCGUGAACAAGGUUGCUUGGUUAAUACCUGGGCAAAUUGAUGGUAACGCAAGAGGAAGAGACGGCUAACUCUGUGCCAGCAGCCGCGGUAAUACAGAGGUCUCAAGCGUUGUUCGGAAUCACUGGGCGUAAAGGGUGCGUAGGUGGCGUGGUAAGUCAGAUGUGAAAGCCCGGGGCUCAACCUCGGAAAUGCAUCCGAUACUGCCAUGCUAGAGUACUGGAGAGGUGACUAGAAUUCUCGGUGUAGCAGUGAAAUGCGUAGAUAUCGAGAGGAAUACCAAAGGCGUAGGCAGGUCACUGGACAGUUACUGACACUGAGGCACGAAGGCCAGGGGAGCGAACGGGAUUAGAUACCCGGGUAGUCC
rnacentral:rRNA from 1 species